GAUGCUUAUGUUGGUCGGCAGGUAUUAGUUCACUCUAAACUGUGUAAGCUUACCUCAGGUAUACCUUGAUAAGCCAUGUUGUUAGUUCUUACUGCUACAUUCUGUGGUAACCUUGACAUGGUUCAGUAUUAUGAGCAUAAUGAUUCAAUAUGAUGAUUCUGUUCUCUUUUAAGCUUACACAAUAUAAGCUUAAAAGAGAUUUCCUUUGAUUACUCUAAUAAUUCUUUGAGGUUAUCACUGGUUCAAUAUCUUGAAGCUUUAUAAGUAAAAUAUUAUGAAAGCUUUGCACUGGUCUAAUCUCAAGUUAUUUUCAGGUUUUCAACAG
rnacentral:misc_RNA from 1 species